UUUGGGGUUUAGCAAGGAACGUGUAAAUAAUAAUAAUAAUAAUAUUAAUAAUAUAUAUAUAUAUGUAUAUACAUUGUUAUAUGGAGCUGUUGAAAGGAAGCUUAAAUGUAAGAAGUUGUGUCUUUUAAUUAAUCUCAAUUUCGGGGCUGAGACCCUUAAAACUUUGGCAACAAAACCUGAUGAAUCUUAGUUUCGUUGAUUGGCACCAAAUUUGGUUCAAGAUUUUACAGAAGCAUUUUGCAGUAGUCUUGCAGCAGACGGCAGAAUGAUGCAGUUCAUAAAAUUUAAUUCUGUUGAGAAACUUCCCUCCAAACUUCCAUCAGACAGGCAUUGUCACUGACCAAAGAGGUUUCCUUUAUAAAUUCUCGGCUCCCAAUAAAACUCUGUUUAUAUACACUUCUU